GACGAACGCUGGCGGCGUGCUUAACACAUGCAAGUCGAGCGGGAUCCAACCGGUGGCAACACCGGGGAAGAUCUAGCGGCGAACGGGUGAGUAACACGUGAGCAACCUGCCCCGAAGACUGGGAUAACACCGGGAAACCGGUGCUAAUACCGGAUGUCGUCAUUAGGCCGCAUGACCUGAUGAUGAAAGGAUUCAUCGCUUCGGGAGGGGCUCGCGGGCUAUCAGCUUGUUGGUGGGGUAACGGCCUACCAAGGCGACGACGGCUAGCUGGUCUGAGAGGACGACCAGCCACACUGGGACUGAGACACGGCCCAGACUCCUACGGGAGGCAGCAGUGGGAAUCUUGCGCAAUGGGCGAAAAGCCUGACGCAGCAACGCCGCGUGGGGGA
rnacentral:rRNA from 1 species